GUGGCGAACGGGUGAGUAACACGUGAGCAAUCUGCCCCUGACUCUGGGAUAAGCGCUGGAAACGGCGUCUAAUACCGGAUACGAGCUGCGAAGGCAUCUUCAGCAGCUGGAAAGAAUUUCGGUCAGGGAUGAGCUCGCGGCCUAUCAGCUUGUUGGUGAGGUAACGGCUCACCAAGGCGUCGACGGGUAGCCGGCCUGAGAGGGUGACCGGCCACACUGGGACUGAGACACGGCCCAGACUCCUACGGGAGGCAGCAGUGGGGAAUAUUGCACAAUGGGCGAAAGCCUGAUGCAGCAACGCCGCGUGAGGGACGACGGCCUUCGGGUUGUAAACCUCUUUUAGCAGGAAAGAAGCGAAAGUGACGGUACCUGCAGAAAAAGCGCCGGCUAACUACGUGCCAGCAGCCGCGGUAAUACGUAGGGCGCAAGCGUUAUCCGGAAUUAUUGGGCGUAAAGAGCUCGUAGGCGGUCUGUCGCGUCUGCUGUGAAAACCCGAGGCUCAACCUCGGGCCUGCAGUGGGUACGGGCAGACUAGAGUGCGGUAGGGGAGAUUGGAAUUCCUGGUGUAGCGGUGGAAUGCGCAGAUAUCAGGAGGAACACCGAUGGCGAAGGCAGAUCUCUGGGCCGUAACUGACGCUGAGGAGCGAAAGGGUGGGGAGCAAACAGGAUUAGAUACCCUGGUAGUCCAC
rnacentral:rRNA from 1 species